GACAUCCCGGUCGCGGACUCCAGAGACGGAGUUCUUCAGUUUCGGCUGGACCGGAGACAGGUGCUGCAUGGCUGUCGUCAGCUCGUGUCGUGAGAUGUUGGGUUAAGUCCCGCAACGAGCGCAACCCCCGUCCUUAGUUGCUACCAUUUAGUUGAGCACUCUAAGGAGACUGCCGGUGAUAAGCCGCGAGGAAGGUGGGGAUGACGUCAAGUCCUCAUGGCCCUUACGGGCUGGGCUACACACGUGCUACAAUGGCGGUGACAAUGGGAUGCUAAGGGGCGACCCUUCGCAAAUCUCAAAAAGCCGUCUCAGUUCGGAUUGGGCUCUGCAACUCGAGCCCAUGAAGUUGGAAUCGCUAGUAAUCGUGGAUCAGCACGCCACGGUGAAUACGUUCCCGGGCCUUGUACACACCGCCCGUCACACCAUGGGAGUUGGUUUUACCUGAAGACGGUGCGCUAACCGAAAGGGGGCAGCCGGCCACGGUAGGGUCAGCGACUGGGGUGAAGUCGUAACAAGGUAAGCGUAGUGCU
rnacentral:rRNA from 1 species